UGCCAGGGCCCAGCACAGCCUCACAGCGAGUCCUUGUCGCCUCUCCAUGUCCCUCAAAAUAUGAGCAAUCGUAGUACCUCAGGCGGAACCAGUUUCCUCCUGGGUGAGUCCAUUUGCAGCUGCUUCGUGCUGGACAGCUCUGAUAGACAGGGGACCAGCAGAAUUAGCCCCUGAGGCUAAAAUUCCCCACGGCUACCGGCUCCAGCCUCUGUCUCUGGCCCCUGGGGAUCUCUGGAGUGUCCUCAGCAGGGUCACCUCCAAGUUGAUCUACAAUCUGCCUUGCAGGUAUGCCAGAAGAAACCUGGAUGAACCUAAAAUUGAAGGCCAAGGGGAGAUGCUCAGGUCUCCCGUGGUGGCAGCAGAGGGGAUAAUAGAAAAAGAGGGUUUCCCAGAAGCCAGACCACACUCAUUAGGCUUCCGAUGGAGACCGAAGACCACCCACUCCACAGGGCCCCAGGAGAUGAGGGAGGAGACUCGCGGGUUCUGAGCACCUCCAGCACAGGUGCGCGUCGCAGGAGAGGUGGUUCUAGCCAGCCAGAGCACCGGGCAUGGAGGCGUCUCACUGCCGCGCAGUGUCCCAGGGGACCUCAGGCAGCUCCCUGGCCUUGGAGACCCUUGCUUCCAAAUUAGCCAG
rnacentral:lncRNA from 1 species